rnacentral:lncRNA from 1 species
CGGCACAGCCAGCGGCGCAGGAGCGGGCAGCCGCGGUGCAGGAUAUCCGCCAGCGGGUGGCGCUGUUGGGAGGUGAGAAAACUGAUGCUUGGAGAUGUGAUCACUGCCCAGGGUCACCCAAUGAUAACAUGCAUGCAUAUGGAACUUGCUGCAUGCCAGCACCAUCUUUGCGGAGUGGCAGCAGAGUCCGUUUGCCCUGGAAAACAAAUGUCCACACAGUUAGGAAGCCCAAGGGCCCUCUGCCCUUUCCUCUCUGCCUUCCUGGAGCAUGAACCCACACAGGGCACACAGCAGCAAGGCAUCCCCGGGCAGUGCCGUGCCCACUCACCAGCUUCUUCCUGCGGUCAUCGAUCUGGCAGAAGUUCUCCUCAUCUAUCCCCAAACAUGGGCUUCCUUGAGGCACAGUCAUUCAACCAACCAGCCAGCAUUCAUUGAGCACCAUCUAUGUCCUGGGCACUGCUAGGGGAUGGUGAUAACAGGGAGAAGACUCUGUCCCUGCCUUCCAAUUGUGUAGAGGAAGACAUCCCCCUACAUGAUGGGUGAGACAUAGCAGAAGUGAGUAGGGGAUGAGGUGGGGGCUCAGAGGAGGGCAUGGUCAGCCUGUCUGGGAGGGAGUUGCAUGUGUGCAUCUGAGGUAGGGACAGGCAUGCAUCUUACAGGAUGAAUAUCGAGCAGAGUUACAGAGAGGGGGAAACUCCUUGAGGUUUCAGGAAUCACCUAAUCCACUGUGACUCACAAAUUCCUGCCUCUUGGCUUUGCCUGCAGCAUAUCUCCUGGAAGUGUGCUGGGGCAAAACUCAUCCCAGACCACCAUCUCCAUCCUCCCCCAAUACACCCUGGCUCUCCCUGGCUACCCUUGAGCACGGUGCACGUGUGCAUGGGUGCAUGCCUGCAUAUAUAGCUAUCCCCCAUGUAUUUCCCAAAGCCCUACAUAAUGCUUCAGUUUGCUAAGGAAAAAAUGUUAAUUACUGCAAAUGUGUUUAAAACUGUAAAAGUACAUUAAACAAACUCUGUAAAGUGUGAAA